GUUUAUUGACAAGCGACGCAAAUGACCAUUACGGCUUAUAUAAAUUGUCGCUGCCUUCUGCUGUUCGAACUUCAAUACUUCAAAGUUCAAACCCUAGAAAAUUCAACCCCAAAAUUCCCGGAAAUUCAACAUCAAAACCCCAAAACAUUACAAAAAUUUGACCACUAAUCAAUAUUCCCAGCAAAUGUGAGGCAAAACCCCUUAUAUUCGAGCAAAUCCGAGCCAAAAUCCCAUACUUUCGAUCAAAAAAUCUACCCAAAGUCCCCAUGAAAUUCAAUUGCAGAAAAUCGAGCAAAUUACCUUAAAUUUGAGCAAAAUAACAAUUGAAAACUCAAAUCAAAAGCUAGUUAAUAUUGUCCUAAUAAAAACCCUAGAAUUUUUGACAAAAAAACCAAGCAUAAUUGUGAGAAACUUAAGUUUGAGCUUUGAAUUUUGGGUUUUUUUUUUGUUCUACGAUUGCAAUAGAGUUUACACACAGAUCUAAGGAAUUUGGUUGGAUUUUCGUUCAAAUUAGGAGCAAUUUGUUAUGAUUCUCUGAAAGUUAGGGUUUGUACUCAAUAAUAUGGAAUUUUGGCUCUAUUGUUGCUGAAGUUGCAUAUGCAAAAUAGAUUUCAAUCAAGAUUCUUAAUUAUGCGGAAGUGAAUUCCACAAGUUGCUCGAGGUUCUGGUUGUGGACAAACAAUUAAGGCGGUAGUACACAUACGAGAUUGUUUUCACUUGUGGUAUAUAUAUAUCUAAACCAUUUAAGGAUUUUUCAAGAGCUACACCGUAUACCGGGGAGGAGAUAAAUGAGAUUCGAGAUAUUUGGGCAGAGUAUUUUAUUUGUAAUGUUGAACUUCAGAUUUACACUUAGCGCAUGUUGGACUCUUGUUUUGGAUUAUAGGCUUGACAUGAAUGAUUUUGGUUAAUUGGCGUUGGAAUUAUGAGUAUAAUGUCUAUGAUAUUGAGAUGUAAAUUAUUGGACAGGUUGUUAAUAUAAUGUCGUCAUUCCCAACUUUAUGGGUAGGCCAAAAUACAAAGGAGACUUUGUCGAAA